GUGGGGAGGGGAGCGUGGCCCCGGUGGGCGGUGGGCGCACUCGCUGUGCGAACGCGCGUGCCGGCUCUGGGAGGUUCAUCUGCCUUGUGCCUUUGUUCUGGGUUUUCUCUGAACUUUGUUAUCGCAGAGUUUCCUGCUGGGGUUUAACUCCGAAGAAGCCACAACCUUGAAGUGCGACUGAAAGUCAUUAAGUUUCCAUUUGACAGUUCAGCUCGUCAGGUAGCUGGACUGGAGGAUCUUUCUGCAUGAUGGUGAGAAUACUGUUCCUGCAGUUCAGUGUGGUUAUCCUGUGUUUGGCCCUUUUAGAUCAUAAAAAGUAGUUUUUGCCUAGCAAGAUGGUAAGCAUGAAUAAAAUCCACUUCUCAAA